UCACACUACUUGAAAUGACACAUUUAACAACCAAUCUUUAACGACGGAAGUAAAAAACUACUCGUUAAAACCGAGAAAGUAGAAAAAGUUAAGAAAUUAACGCGGGUUAUCCAAAACUUUUAACAAAUUAAGAUAGAACCAAUUUUGUAACUUUUGUUUCGUCGUUAAUUCAUGUUUAAAGCGGCUAAUAAAAUUCCACCAAACUCUCCAAAACCUAAAUGAAAAACCAUUUGUAUUUUUCUAUAUAGUUUUUGGUUCUCUAGUUCUCUAUUCUCAAAUUCCAUGGCGGCGACUAGCGUGGGCUCUCUUACCAUAGAUUUGCCGACAAAAUUACCUUUCCAUUGAGGGAUUCACGAUUUUUUAAAGGCGGAGGUCCAGGUGGUGGCGGUCGUUUCUGGUUAGGGGUUGCAUCUGGAAAGGUGGCAGUAUCAAAGAAGGUGAUGGGAGCUGCGGUGGUCGUAGCUUUAUAUGGCGCGGAAAUACGUUAUUGAGGAGCUUGAGCAUUAUUCAUAUGCACCAAAACUGCGAGAUUGCAAUAAAAAGAAAUUAACGUACAAUUGAAGAUAGAAGCUGGUGAUUAUGUUUGGGGACAAACUCAUGCCGUCUGAAUGUUCCCUCAUUGUUGAAGAGGUGAAGCGAACAACAUUGUGUUUUCAAUGUGCUCACGAAAAGCCAACAACUGUGCCUCUGGUGAAUCUGAAGGCAUUACAAAAGGGUUUCCUACAGCUUGGAUCCUGGCGUGAAUGCUCUAAGAAUACCUAGCAUGGACUCUGCAGGAAUGAGAUAACUCUUGAUCGUGUCAAACGUAGACUUAAUAUGGUAAGAGGUGUGAAUAAUGUAUAUAAGGUUCGUUUUCUUUACACAAUGUUUUUUUCUCUUGUUGUUCUUCAGCAUUUCCAUUUUUCUUUUUUAUAUCGUAAAAAAUAAAUUGUAUCUUCAUGCUCUGGUUAUCUUGUACUAUCCAAGUGCACAAGUAAUAGUAGCUGAGUAUAUCUUCAUCCAUUCUUUCGAACCUGAUAGAUCCAUUCUUUGGUAAGUGGGGAGGUUAUGAGUGACAAAUUUAUAAUACUGCUACACAAACUGAAAUAUUUCAUCCACAGCCUGAUCCAAACUGAUGCUGCACUUUACUCUAUUUUUUGCUUUUCUCCUACUAAAUGCCAAGGUUAUGUGUUGUAGGAGGAAAUUCAGAAAAUAAUGGCAGAAGAACCAAUCGCGUGGAUACGGUACAAGAAGAAAACAAUGCACUUAAGAGCCACAAGAGUUCAGUUGAAGAUGAACUUAAAUCAUUUAAAGAAGUGUUACUACAAGGGCUUAAGCCUCCAAGAGAGGACACUUCAACUAUUUAGAUUUUAUUUUGUUCUAUUAGAUUGGACAUGAGUUAUUUAUUUAUUAGUUUUUAGAAUUUAAAGACAACGAGCUGUGAUUGUUGGGUUCACAUAACUUGAAGUUCUAUUGUCAAUUUUUUUUUGAGUAAUGAAAUUUUCAGUUGUUUUUA